rnacentral:ncRNA from 2 species
GUAAGAUAUCUGGGGUGCCUUGAGCUGAGAUCAUACCCAUUGAACCUGAAGCAGUUAAGACUGACGCAGGAAGAUAUUAUAUUAGCCAC